AGAACCUGCCGUAUACUGGGGGAUAACACUUAGAAAUAGGUGCUAAUACCGCAUAAGCGCACAGCUUCGCAUGAAGCAGUGUGGAAAACAAAAAGCUAAAGCUUUUGGUGGUAUACGAUGGAUCCGCGUCUGAUUAGCUUGUUGGCGGGGUAAAGGCUCACCAAGGCGACGAUCAGUAGCCGGCCUGAGAGGGCGACCGGCCACAUUGGGACUGAGACACGGCCCAGACUCCUACGGAAGGCAGCAG
rnacentral:rRNA from 1 species